rnacentral:misc_RNA from 1 species
GUUAUGGAGGAUUGAGUUUUUCAUCCAAUGAUGUUGGACAAGUGCUUGCCAUCACAGGUUUUGGUCUUCUAGUGUUUCAACUAUUUCUUUAUCCUCCGUUGAUGAAACACCUUGGGCCCAUUAUGUCAGUCCGUGUUGCAGCGGUUAUAUCUGUACCACUACUUGCCGCUUAUCCUUUUAUGACUAAGCUGUCAGGAAUUGUUCUUGCUUUGAUAAUCAAUUGUGCAUCUUUGGCGAAGAAUGUUCUAUCUGUAAUUAUUGUUACGGCGACAUUCGUCCUACAAAACAAAGCUGUGGC